UGGGGAAUAUUGGACAAUGGGCGCAAGCCUGAUCCAGCCAUGCCGCGUGAGUGAUGAAGGCCCUAGGGUUGUAAAGCUCUUUCACCGGUGAAGAUAAUGACGGUAACCGGAGAAGAAGCCCCGGCUAACUUCGUGCCAGCAGCCGCGGUAAUACGAAGGGGGCUAGCGUUGUUCGGAUUUACUGGGCGUAAAGCGCACGUAGGUGGGCUUUUAAGUCAGGGGUGAAAUCCCGGGGCUCAACCCCGGAACUGCCUUUGAUACUGGAAGUCUUGAGUAUGGUAGAGGUGGGUGGAAUUCCGAGUGUAGAGGUGAAAUUCGUAGAUAUUCGGAGGAACACCAGUGGCGAAGGCGGCUCACUGGACCAUUACUGACGCUGAGGUGCGAAAGCGUGGGGAGCAAACAGG
rnacentral:rRNA from 1 species